GAUGAACGCUAGCUACAGGCUUAACACAUGCAAGUCGAGGGACCGGCGCACGGGUGAGUAACACGUAUCCAACAUGCCCUUUACUCGGGGCUAGCCUUUCGAAAGAUAGAUUAAUACCCGAUAUAAAGGAUGGGGAUGCGUUCCAUUAGGUUGUGGGUGGGGUACCGGCUCACCAAGCCUUCGAUGGAUAGGGGUUCUGAGAGGAAGGUCCCCCACAUGUGAACUAGGACACGGUCCAAACGCCUACGGGAGGCAGCAGUGAGGAAUAUUGGUCAAUGGGCGCUAGCCUGAACCAGCCAAGUAGCGUGAAGGAUGAAGGCUUAUGGGUCGUAAACUUCUUUUAUAUAAGAAUAUGUAUUAUAUGAAAAAGGAUCGGCGAACGCCGUGCCAGCAGCCGCGUAAUA
rnacentral:rRNA from 1 species